rnacentral:rRNA from 1 species
AACGAACGCUGGCGGCGUGGAUAAGACAUGCAAGUCGGACGAGAAGCUUUAGCUUGCUUUGGCUUCUAGUGGCGGACGAGUGAGUAACACGUGAGGACUUGCCCGGAAGAGGGGGAUAGCCCGUGGAAACGCGGAUUAAUACCCCAUGUGAUCGCAAGAUUAAAGGUGGCUUCGGCUGCCGCUUCUGGAUGGGCUCGCGGCCUAUCAGCUAGUUGGUGAGGUAACUGCUCACCAAGGCGACGACGGGUAGCUGGUCUGAGAGGACGACCAGUCACGCUGGAACUGAGACACGGCCCAGACUCCUACGGGAGGCAGCAGUAGGGAAUCUUGCACAAUGGGCGAAAGCCUGAUGCAGCGACGCCGCGUGGGGGAUGAAGGCCUUAGGGUUGUAAACCCCUUUCAGUAGGGACGAAAAUGACGGUACCUACAGAAGAAGCUCCGGCCAACUACG